rnacentral:rRNA from 1 species
UACAGAGGAGCCAAGCGUUGUCCGGAUUGACUGGGCGUAAAGCGCACGCAGGCGGAUGCGCGCGUGGGGUGUGAAAUCUGGCCGCUUAACGGCCAGGCGCCAUCCCAUACGGCGCGUCUGGAGUGAUGCAGAGGUCGAUGGAAUUGCCGGUGUAGUGGUGAAAUGCGCAGAUAUCGGGAGGAACACCCGUAGCGAAGGCGGCACUCUGGGCCGGAACUGACGCUGAGGAGCGAAAGCGUGGGGAGCAAACAGG